AACCAUAGAAACCUGCGGAGUACCUGCGGAGGGAUCAUUAAAAGAGUUUCACAAAACUCCCUAAACCCCACUGUGAACCUACCUGUUAUUUGUUGCCUCGGCGGGCAGCCCCAGGGCGGGGCCUUUCGCCUGGUGGGGAAAAUUAAACACUUUCUCCCCGGGUGCCCGCCGGAGGAUUCUCCAAAACUCUUAUUUUACUGUUACUCUGAGCUGCAGCAAGCAAAAUCAAGUAAAAACUUU
rnacentral:misc_RNA from 1 species